rnacentral:rRNA from 1 species
UACGUAGGCAGCAAGCGUUGUUCGGAAUUACUGGGCGUAAAGAGUGCGUAGGCGGUGCUCUAAGUCUGUUGUGAAAUCUCCCGGCUCAACUGGGAGGGUGCGGCGGAAACUGGAGUGCUCGAGUGUGGGAGAGGUAAGCGGAAUUCCUGGUGUAGCGGUGAAAUGCGUAGAUAUCGGGAGGAACACCUGUGGCGAAAGCGGCUCACUGGACCAUUACUGACGCUGAGGCUCGAAAGCUAGGGGAGCAAACAGG